CCUAGGUUUCUUUAUUAGUGUCAAUACUUAGCCAAAUUUUGGUUCUGGCAAAAAAAAUUAUUUCCAAAUCUUUCUCUCCUUCGAUGUUGCUUCUUCUAUCUCUCCGACAACCAUCAGCACCACAUUGUUUCUCCACAGCCGUCCUCCGCCUCCUCCACCUCCCGUUCCCUCUAACCCAGCUCACCCAAACCCUAACUCCAUCUCUGCCCGCAUCCAUGACGAUUUAGAUCCUCCGCUCUUAUUCUUUUUAAUUCCACUGGAGUUUUAUCAUCUCUGCCUAUUCGACUUAAGUGUAGAGAUGGAGACUCUAAGGAGAAAGAAAGAGCAUUACUCAAGCUUAUUCUUUGCAAUCCUCCUAACCUGCUAAGAAUCAUGACUUCCAGGGACUCGUCCCAGUGAGGGUGAAGAAAAUCACCGAGUCUUUUCAUUUCGGUGGUGAAAAAAUCUGAUAUCGUCAUCAAUGGAAUCAGACUCACAAACUUACAAUCUCUUCCAGAUUUCUCCGUCUUUUUUUUUAUUAUUCGUUACUUAGUUGUGUGGUGAUGUUUGGUCUUGUAACAAGUGUCACUUGUUGGGUUAGUUAGUGACAGAAGAAUUCUCCAAAGUCACUGAAGUUAGACUCUCUCUUGUUGAUGGAACAGGUGGUAUCGAUUAUAAAAGACGGGUGAAUGAAAGUUUUGACGCUAGAGAAAUGGAGUCAGUGCAGUGAUUAUACUAUCUCCUGGGUCUUCUUCUCUCACCUUUCUUGGUAAAGUUUGUGUUUUCAAAUAUUUUUUCUCUUGUGAAACAGAGAUGGAACUUAUGUGCGUCUCAAUUGUCAGGUCUCUGGCCCUCUUUGCUGCAGGUUGCUCCCUGAAUGCUGAAGAACUCGCUAUCUCGAAACUCGGUUUGCCUCGGUGAGUCUCUAGAGAAGCGUGGUAUCAGUCACCUCUUCCCGUUCAGAGGGAUCUGAUAGUUCAUGCGCUGCAAAAACGAGACAUCAUAGCUCGUGCAAAGACAUGACCUAGAAAGAAUUUAGCUUUCUCUAUCUUCAAACUCCUCCUGAACAAGCUGUAGACUACUCUGCUUUCAGUUUCAGAUAGAGGAGGCUUUACACGCCAGUAGUCUUCAAGUGCCUUGAAGGCA